rnacentral:lncRNA from 1 species
CCAGAUUUUAAGUGCGGCCUUCAGUUUUCAAACAAUCAAACACAUUGUACAUAAAACCUUCAUGAGCGGAACAUCGACCACAGCUUUUUGUUCCAGUCCAGAAACUGCUCCUUUUCUGAGCAAAGUUCAUUCAAAAUCCAAAAAUCAAACGCUUAAGUGAAAACUAUGUGAUUUGUUUUGUGUGUGUUCCAGGCCUCUACUGUUUCCUGCUUGACUGGCGUCCUUCGUAUUUAAAAUAAUAAUUUCAACAAAUUAGGAGCUCCGGAGCAAAGAAAAUGUGAAAAUCCCCCCCAAUCCAAACUGCCAAGGAAUACAAUGUCGCCUCCUGGUGCCAGAAACGUGUAACUGCAGACUGCUGCUUGGAGAGUUCCUGCUGGAGAUCUCCCAAUGUGGGAACAAUGAUCAUGAAUACGAGGAUCAUAGCAUGGGUGCAGGUAGCUUUUUUUUAAAUCCCACAACCAUCUGCUUCAAAAGCCAAGAAUCUGCUCACAUGUGCCAAAGAAACAUUUGUGUGUGUGAG